GUGGCCUUGAGCCGUGGCUUUCGGAGCUAACGCGUUAAGUAGACCGCCUGGGGAGUACGGUCGCAAGAUUAAAACUCAAAUGAAUUGACGGGGGCCCGCACAAGCGGUGGAGCAUGUGGUUUAAUUCGAUGCAACGCGAAGAACCUUACCUACUCUUGACAUCCAGAGAACUUUCCAGAGAUGGAUUGGUGCCUUCGGGAACUCUGAGACAGGUGCUGCAUGGCUGUCGUCAGCUCGUGUCGUGAG
rnacentral:rRNA from 3 species